UAGGGAAUCUUCCACAAUGGACGCAAGUCUGAUGGAGCAACGCCGCGUGAGUGAAGAAGGUUUUCGGAUCGUAAAGCUCUGUUGUUGGUGAAGAAGGAUAGAGGUAGUAACUGGCCUUUAUUUGACGGUAACCAACCAGAAAGUCACGGCUAACUACGUGCCAGCAGCCGCGGUAAUACGUAGGUGGCAAGCGUUGUCCGGAUUUAUUGGGCGUAAAGCGAGCGCAGGCGGAAGAAUAAGUCUGAUGUGAAAGCCCUCGGCUUAACCGAGGAACUGCAUCGGAAACUGUUUUUCUUGAGUGCAGAAGAGGAGAGUGGAAUUCCAUGUGUAGCGGUGGAAUGCGUAGAUAUAUGGAAGAACACCAGUGGCGAAGGCGACUCUCUGGUCUGCAACUGACGCUGAGGCUCGAAAGCAUGGGUAGCGAACAGG
rnacentral:rRNA from 1 species